CUCUUGGGCUGCACCAAUUUUCAGAGCUGUCUAUUGCAAUGCAUGCUUGGUGGGAGUAGUGGAAGUAGGGUGAUGUGACAUCCAUUCUCAGAAUGUUCCAACUUCCCAGUUGCAGUGUGCUUGUGAUGUGCGUUCCCAGAAUGUGCAACUUCCCAGAAGUUUUGCACAGGCAUCAUGGGAGUGUUGUUCUUUGGUGCCGCAGUGAAUCUCUUAAGACCCUGCGUGAUGGAGGGCGUAAUGCACUGAUGAAUACGUGAGGGUGGAGUAAUCCAAUCAUCAGGAGAGGUCAGAACAGCUGUCUUGAAGGCAUCAGCCAAUGCCAGUGAAGGAGCGAGAGAGAGACCAGGAUCUUUGUGUUCAUUCAGAUCAACAAACCUGCAAUCUGUUCAGCUUGAACUGUCUUCAUGGACAAGAACUGAAUGAACAAUCCACAUGCUGCAAUAAAAAACAAAAUCCAUACCAGUCUAAAAACAGCAUUAAGGUUGUUGCAGAAUAGCAGCCUCAGUGUAAAGCAGCAGUGAGAUGCGGGGAGUCUUUGCGGCGUGUGUGCGUGAGUCAUCUCAGCCGGCCGGAGUCACGUCAGGACACAGGAUUUCGUCAGCUGUGCCAAGUAAAAGCCCUGGGUGUGCUUAGCGUGCAACCGUGCAACCUUGACACGGCUGACACCGGGUCAGGCUGCUCACGGCCUCGUCCCGCCCGGCCGUAUGCCGGAAGUUAGUUAAUCGCGCCGCAGAUGGGCGGAAAUCAAGCGCGGGGGUCACGCUGGGGUCGGGCAGAGGAAAUAAGCAGAUUUUCUCGGGGCAUUAAAGCCGUUAGAGAUCCCAACUAACAACGUGUUGCGGCAUAAACUCUCCCGGGAUUCUCCACCUCUGCAGGAUCCCCGGCCGUCUGCCGCAGGAAAUGCGUCACGGUUAUGCAAAGCAACCUCUGGGCAUGUGGGAGGAGAGCGAGGUACGGAUUCGGGAAGAGCUGCCAGCUUCGCGUCUCGAUUAUGGGCAUCAUGCCGUUUCCAUUAGAGGAGCUACUUUAUUCCUCGUGGAACAGAUGAAUGCGGUUUCUUUGAAUAGAUGCUAAAGAGCUCCCAGAGGGAAACCCAGUAACAUCUGACGCUGCAAAUGUAGGACUUUACAUAACUGAGAAUAUCUAAUCUAGAAAAGCUCCGAACUGGAGACUGGUUCAUAUCUGCGGGAUGUUGGCCCGGAAAAGCAGCGUUGAAAUUAAGCUUGAAAUUCUUCGAGAGAUGCAGAAAACUCUGAUGUGUUCCGGUUGUGCCCUGCAAAAACUCGGCCAUCCUGACUGAAAUUAACAUUAAUUAAAUGUGAUAAAUUAUGAAAAAUAGUGACACAAAAUUCUUUAACUUGAGAUAACCGCUUAUAGUGCAAGAAGCUAAAAUUAUGCACUACUGGUGAAAAGUUUGAAACAAUUAUUAUUUUUUUAUUUUAUGCAACAUAACUUUGAAUAUUUGCACUAAUAUAAAUGUAGAUAAUUUAUUUAUGGCUAUUUAAAUAAAUAUAUCAAUUAUUUUCUUUAUAUACACACACACACAGUACUGGUCAAAAUUUUGGAAUAAUUAUGUUUUUUAUGUUUUUCAAAAAGUGUCUUCUGCUCACCAAGGCUGCAUUUAUUUAACAAAAAAUACAGUAAAAAUUGUGAAAUAUUAUUACAAUUUAAAAUGGCUGUUUUCUAUGUAAAUACAUGUAAAAUAUAAUUUAUUUUUGUGAUCAAAGUUUAAUUUUCAGCAUCAUUACUCCAGUCUUCAGUGUCACAUGAUCCUUCAGAAAUCAUUCUAAUUUGCUGAUUUGCUGCUCAACAAACAUUUCUGAUUAUUAGCAAUGUUGAAAACCAUUGUGCUGCGCAAUAUUUUUGUGAAAAUUGUAAUCCGUUUUA